UACGGAGGGGGCUAGCGUUGUUCGGAAUUACUGGGCGUAAAGCGCACGUAGGCGGCUUUGUAAGUUAGAGGUGAAAGCCCGGGGCUCAACUCCGGAAUUGCCUUUAAGACUGCAUCGCUAGAAUUGUGGAGAGGUGAGUGGAAUUCCGAGUGUAGAGGUGAAAUUCGUAGAUAUUCGGAAGAACACCAGUGGCGAAGGCGACUCACUGGACACAUAUUGACGCUGAGGUGCGAAAAGCGUGGGGAGCAAACAGG
rnacentral:rRNA from 1 species